CCCAGGGAAUCCCUCCAAGUGCAGGCAGAGUCUGUCCCUGAUCCCUGCCUGAAGAGUGGCUGUCACUGCUUUGUGUCCUCCAGUGUCAUGGGAAUGUUGUGGCUGAGGCAUCCUGCCUUACUUAGUCUUUGUUCUCCAAAUCUGUCACUGAUUCUAUAUUGUGAUGACAGAUCCCCGAAUUCCCCCCAUUGCUCAGCUUCAGGUUUGUUUUGGGGAAAUUCAGUGUCGGCUGCCCAAAUCUUUUGGGUCCUUGUGUAAGCCUGUUUAUGUCACUCCCUUCUGAGUUGUACUCUCUCUCACUGCUCUGGCAUACUUGCACGUGCACAUGCACGCACACAUACACACAUGAUAUCUGGCUACGGCUUGUAAAAAUUACAAAGAUAAAUAAUCUGUUUCACCGCUUGGAAUGAGUUGCAACUAAGGUUGUUUGGGCUCCUGGAUCUAGCUCUCAUGGUUCGGAUUCAUUACAGCAAACUCCCAUUGUUCACCAUAUUGAUUUACAGUAGUGUGAUAACAUUAACAAACAUGGCGCAACCUGAAUUGUAUAAGGCGAACUAAAGAAGAAAAGUGACAUAUGAAUAUAUUUUGCAAAGUCACAUUAACUAAAAAACAAAUAUGAAUAAUUUCAUUGUUUAAUUUUUUAAGUGGGCAUUCUCCACUGUUUCCAGACCUCUGUAUGUAUAUUUUUAUCUUUUUUUUUUUGCCAAAUAAGGUGUUAUUUUGGUCCUCUGUUGGUAGAGGUUUUGUUUAAAUAGAGCCAAUCAGGCCCUAAGUGCAAAAAAGUUCUGUCUUGCCGCUUAUCACUGGUGUGGUUAUUAUUUUUGCUUUCCUAACUUUGCUCUUAGGAGCAUAAAUCUGUUUGUAGCUUUAUGGUAAUGGGAUAUUUCUAGUCACAUACUGUCAAAAGUUUUUUUACAUUGUACAAGUGAAGAUUGCUUUCAGGAUUAAAUGAUUGGAAUUAAUGUAUAUAGAGUAAAGUUUUUGCAAAAUUUAAAAACGAUGUUUCUUGGUGUUCUUUUUAAAUACUUUUUGAAAAAUAUAUGAAAAUGAUAAACCUUUAGUUAGAAUAAGCCAGUAUGUUACAAUUUUUUGUUUAGAUUUUAUAAUCAAGAGUUGAUUAUAAAUAUUUAUGACCUCAAGCUCUUACUAUUUUAGUUUUAAAAGAAUGGGAAAUGGCUCAUGAACUGUUUUCUUCUAAUUCCUGAUGUGAAUUCCACUGUUGAUUGACCUGUGUGUUAUGUGAAUGUACUGUCUCUCAUUCCCUGUUACCAGACAAAUCUGACCAGACGUGAUUGUCAGCAUUCUCAUGCUCAAAUACUUAAACUGGUUCUUCUUUGCCCAACAAUCUCAGAGUUUUCAUUUUGUUUCAGUAGAGUCACAACUUAUAAGGUGGUUAGGUUUCAAAGACUGUGCUAAAGACUGCCUAAGGAUGAAAUCGAGCAUGCUCAAAAUGAUCCUUGAGAAUCUCUUAAACUGCCAAUAAAGUUCUCUAUAUUAGAUUCCCUGUAGUGUGAUACAUGAGGAUGAAUAGUUUAUGAAUAUAGUAAGUACAAUAUAUAAUACAAACUACAUAUCAACAGUAGACUUUUACAGCACCAAUAAACUAUUUAAAUAUGGAUCCUUUUUUUUCCUGAAUAGUAUGGUUGAAUUUAUGUAAAUUUAUUGCGAUCCUCCAUUUUCUAGAGUGUAAGCUCACAGGGCAGAGAUGUUUCCUGGUUUGUUCAUGGAUAGAUCCCCAGAGGCCAGAACAGGGCCUGGCACACAGUAUGACUCAAUAAAUAGUUAUUGAAUUAAUUAACUCCGGUGUAUAUAUCUAUUUAUAAUUUGGCUCCACUUUAUCCUACUUUUUAUCUCCCAUUCACUUCAAUUAAAACACAUUUUUUUUAAUACAUACUGAAUUUGUGUGAGGAGCUUUGUGGGCCAUUGGUGGGGAUACAAAAGUGAAUAAGAUACAGCCCCUGCCCUUAAGAGGGUGCCCGUUGGGCAAAGAGACAUGUGAGCAACCUUAAUUGAAGAUGGAAGGAAGUCCAUGCCAUGAAAGGGCACAGGUACCACGCUGUGGAAGACAAGGAAGGAGCUUUUCGUUUUGAGGGAGGGACCUGGGAAGGCCCGUGGGAGGGAAGAGCUUGGUAAACUAGACUACGAGGACCAAGAGAUGGUCAGUAGGUGGCAGGCAUUGGGUCACGGGAACAGCGUGAGGUGUGCCUCUUCCUGUUGCUGGGACGCUUCCCCUUGUCUGUCCAGACUUCCCAUCGUUCCUUCUUCCCACUCACACCCCUACCCCCACUAAUCAAAAUCAUGCUUUGCUCAAUCCCACCUGCUCUAGAAAAAUCUGUUUCCAGUACACAGCUCUAUUUCUAAACUCCCUAAGAGUUACUGUCCGUCUCAUAUACUUGACUGUGUUUUAUCUUGCUCUCUAUUUGUUGUCUUGAUGCCGUAAUAAAAUAGAGAAAUUGGA
ensembl:lncRNA